rnacentral:lncRNA from 1 species
CGAAAGAACCGCCUCCUGUUGUCGAAUUGAGGCGUUCUUCACGCACAGUCAAGAAACGUGUAUUAAUGGAUCUAUGAAAAAUAUCACGAGUGUUAAUGGGGCAUAAUAAUCCCCUUUGCGUGAUAUUGCUUAAGUGGAUAUAAUGUGUUCAAUUUUUUUUUGUUCUGUGUUGAACUUAUAUUCGUUUUGAUUUGAAAUUAAACUGUGUGGAGUAACACAUACUUAAUACAAAAAGAUAUUUCAAACUUGGAUUUUUAUAGUUCUAGUCUGUGUUUUCUAGUCUUAUUCAUUUAAAUGUUUGUAUUGUUUUGUGUAACUAUUGUUUAAAAGUAACAUUCUAUGACUAAAUAUUCAUUUCACAUUUAGAAGUUCAACAUCAUUAUUAUUCUUUAUACUUAUUCUCUGAUUAAAAGUAAUGUUGGUUUAAAUUGUAUGAACAUUUUAAACUCAGUCCACCCCUGUUUAUUAUUUCAAAAAUGGAACUUGAUAAAUUUAAUCUUAGUGUGGGGGUGUGUUAUGUACUGGUACUCUGAAACUAGUUACUGUCAUAUGUCGUAUCAAUAUAAGGUUUGUGAAGUCAUUGCGAAAUUAAAUGUUUACAUAAAAACGUGUUGUUGAAUUUCGUCUUCAAACUAUUCCAGGGUUCAUCCACUCAAAUAGGGAAUUAUAAUAUAAAAUAGUGUAAACAUAACAGACGUAACAUUUUCAGUGAAAAAGAAUAGGGCCAAUUUAAAUAUAAAAAAUUAUUCACAAAAAAGUGACUAUCAUAAUAAAAUAUUAUGCUCAAAGAUCGAUCAAUAGUUAUGAUAGUUGCAAAGUUUACAGCAUGUUAACAAUGCCAAUUAUGUGGUCAAUCAUGGACGCCAUUGUGCGGCCUUUGGUAUUGGUUUCUUAUGUGUUUGUCAUGGAAGAAGCAGGAUAGAUAUAAAAUUAAUUUGUUUUUCAGAUCACUUUAUUGGACGAGAAGUUGUUACGCCUACAAAUUUCAGACGUUGCAUCUUGAAGACAGCGAUCAAUUCAUGAUCAUUCUCACUGGAAAGUGAAGAGAAAAUGGCCAACAGGGAGUGUAUAUUGGGGAAAUUGAAACCUUUCAAAGCAAUUGAUGAUUACUACAAUCUUCUGCCAGAGGACGAAGCAGCAACCCCCAAGUCAUUCACAAGAUUACAAAAGGGCUAUGAAAUCUUUUUUCUUUUUUUUGGCAAGCGCAAUUCUGCUGCCAAAACCAAGAAUGAAUUCACAAUAAGCUUUGAAUAUGAUAAUGGAGAACAGUGAAAGUUUUUGAAAGUAAGAAAAUCAGUCUUGGAGAGGAAGGAAAGAGAUCCGUGAUAACAGAUGAUAUUUUAAAGCACUAUCUAGAUAAACCUCUGUAUCCACAUAUGUGCAAGUAAUCUCGCAUCAACAAAUAUGUGUUGUAGCAGUGAGAAAGCUCAUUUUCAAAUGUGUGUUUUUGGAUAUCAGACCAACCAUGACAUUUAUAAGCAGUACUUUAGAGUUGGUUGAACACAGUACAUGUACAUUAGUCGGGAAGAUUUAAUCAUAACUGCCACCAACAAAGUUGAAGUGGUUUAUACUGGUUUGAAAUGUUAGGUGUAAUCAUACAGUAAACCAAUAAUAUAGUAUUAACAUCA